CAAAGGUAGCUAAUUCUGACAUUUAUGCCAUAGCAAAAGUUAUCAGGCAUGUGUUUAUUUGUUGUCCUUUUUGGGGGGGAGGGGGAGCUUUAAUCAGUUUCUCUCUCUCUGAAUAUGGCAGACUUUAUGGGCCACUCCAAUCUGUAGCAAUGGACUGCAUGCUACCAACCAAUCUUUUACUACUUUUAAUCUGCAAAGCACUAGGGCUGCCCCUUUGAGUCCAUUGGCCUCGAACAUCUGGUAGCCCCACUUGUAAGUGUAGAAACUGAAGACCACAUUGACGGCCCACAUCGACAUCAGUGCUGAUCAUUCAACUUCUGUGUGGAGGGCACAUUUUGAAGACUGGCAUUUUGACCUGUGAAUCAACAAUAUGAUAUGUAUGACAUUUUUGCUUAGGGACCAAUACUGAAGAGUGCCAAGGGCCUGCAGGAGCAAUAAUAGAUUUUUUAUUACAGUGACAGAGAAUGCUUAGUAGCCUGCACAAAGUAGUCCCUACUUGAAACACAUGUAUUGCAUUAAAAUGUCUAUCCCAACUCA